CGGUGCUGAAGGAGAGGCUGCCUGCUGAGAAGGCAGGAAGUGUGAGCUGGCAGGCUGGCUGUGCUGGCAAGGAAGGGGUGCUAGGGAACGAAUCUUCCAGUGCCAUCUGAAGACUGCAGUUUACGGGCAGCUCUGACAUUCACCAGCUACGUGACCACGGAUGUCGUGUAACCUGGGCUGACUUUCUGUAAAGCGGACAGCGCCCCAUCUGCCAGACCUCAGAUCUCACUGCAUCAUCACCAGGACCCAGCCAGGUGACAGCAGGAAAGUGCUUUUAAACUGUGCUAGGAACAGAGCAGUGAAGAACACAGAUGUGUCCUUGUCCUCAUGAAGCUUGCAGUCUGCUGGGGAGUACAGUCACUGCACAGAUAUGUUUCCAAGAACUAGAUAUGUGCUUAGGCUGUCUCAGUUUAUGGGAGUUUAUUGUAAGGACAAAGAAAGCUUCUGCAGAGCCCCAGUGAAGGCAUUCUGAGCAGGGGAGAGGAGGUGAGCACAGCAGCUUCAGAAGGAGGACAGCCCUGGGGACCGGCUGCGGUCCUUUGAAGGACAACCCGGAAGGAGACUCAGAGGCUGGCUCUCUGAAGGGGUGGAGACAUGCAUCUGUGGUCCCUGCGGUCAGCCUUCAGCAGUUUGAGUUGGGAGAGCUUUUUCAUUUCUGUAGAACUUGAAGGCUGCCACUUGAAAUGGCACUGGAUCAAGUGUUCAUUGGCCACCACCUACUUCCGACAUGGAACACAACUGCUCGUCCAGUUGCAAGCACAGAAUGAAGGUGAAUCAGCUCAUGGACGGCCUUCAGAAAUUCUGAGCUUGGUUUUAGACAUUGUAACAUAUAUUAAGACCAACAGGGCAAAAGAGGUCCUUUAAG